rnacentral:rRNA from 1 species
CCCUUAGAUGUCCUGGGCUGCACGCGCGCUACACUGACGAACUCAACGAGCUUAUCACCUUGGCAGAGAUGUCUGGGUAAUCUUUUGAAAGUUCGUCGUGCUGGGGAUAGAUGAUUGUAAUUAUUCGUCUUGAACGAGGAAUUCCUAGUAAGUGUGAGUCAUCAGCUCGCGCUGAUUACGUCCCUGCCCUUUGUACACACCGCCCGUCGCUCCUACCGAUUGAAUGGUCCGGUGAGGUUCUCGGAUUUUUUCUGUUGUUUGGUUCGCUAAACGAUUGAAGAGAGAAGUUACCCAAACCUUACCAUUUAGAGGAAGUAAAAGUCGUAACA